AAUACAUAUAACACGCAGAGUACAGGUUAAUCGACUGUGUUAUCGUUGUUGGUAAGGCUUUCAGUCAAUAGUAGGCUGUUACUAGUUAAAUUUGGGAGGAGUCAGAAUUUAUAUGUGGAUUUCUGACUGCACAGGGGUUGGCACUCCUAACCCCCUUGUAUGUUCUGUCAAGGCUGAGCCAGAAAUCUCUGUGAAAUUUUGAAUUUUAUUUUUCCAGUUUAAUGCCUAUGAUAAGGACUGUCUCACAUUAAAUAAACAAGCAAGAACCAAGGCAGCCCUGAGAACCGGUCAUAUCACCGGCCCUUCUUCAGCGCAGUCCACUGACCCUUCCCCACGGAGAUGGCCACAGCUCCCUUCGUCUCUCCUCCCCCUUGUGCUGCUCCCACUCGUUCCCUCCCCGUCUCCUCGGAGUGUGUGCUGCAAAGCGUCUGCCUUCUCACAGCUUUGGCCCACUGAAGGCUUCCACGGCCUCUAAGUAUCUUUUCACCUUCAACAUCAGUUUCUACUACAGGCUUACUAACCAGCCCUCUGCAUCUCAUGUUGGAAUUCUUAAACAGAUGAUCUAACCGCAACCCCGUCUCUCUCUGGGUGAAAUCUGGGGGGCCAAAGCUUUUUUCCUAGUGAUGGCAGGGAAAGCAGGUGAAAAGGGGAAGUGGCUUGGUCACUCUGUGAAAAACAUGGCCACCCAGGGCUGCUCGUCAGUCAGGGCCAUGGUCAGAGUUCUGCCAGAAGGAGCGACGGGUGUGGCCGUCACUGAGAUGGACCUGGAGCAGUGAUUUAUCUACAAACCUCUCCCCCUGCUUCUAAAUGUGAGCUUUUGAGGGUAGCAGGCAUGUUUUAAGCAUUCUUUAAUGCCCUGCACAUUGCUUGGAACAUAGUAGGUUUUCACUAUAUUUUAUUCAACAAAUGAAUGAAUUGAUGAUGAAUGGUAUCUUGGCUCCUCAACUAGACUGUUGGGUCCCUUAAUUGGAUAGAUGGAUUCUUAAAAUUAACAAAUCACAAGACUACCUUGGCAAUUGUUUUAAGAAAUGCUGUUUUUUUUUUAAAUACUUGAAGUACUAAUAGAAGUGUUUUGUAAUGUUGCUUUAAUGAUUUUAAUUAGUACCCAUAUCAGUUUUUAAUCAGUUACAUAACAGUUCUGGCGUGACCUGGGAUAAGACUUUGUCUUCUCAUGCAUCUUAGAUACUCCCCAAUUAGAAUUUUUAAAAUACUAAUUUAGAUUGGUUUUCCUCAUUUGUUUGAAUAGUAUUUUACAGCACUUCUCUGGGUAAUGAAAACCAUUCUGUGCAGACAGUAGGUAUGCACUUAAUUAUCUGUCAGCUUCCCUGUGAGCUAGUGAGUCACUGACCCGGAAGCUGGAGUGGGGCGAUGUGCACCACGGAGAACUUACUCGUCGCAUGGUAACACAGAGCCUUCUUGCCUGCUACUUCUUCCCACAUCUCUGUCAUAUUUAAAGGGGGAAAUUGUUAUUUACUUCAGGUUGUAUAUUCCAAUAUGUUUUUAAGGGCACAAAUUCCUAACCUCAGCCAUUCUUGUGUAUUAAACAUUGCCAUAGGAACAAUAAAAAUUAGUGGUUAUAAAUAAUGCCUUAUGAAGUGAAAAAUCAUCUGCCAAUUCUACAGCAUUUUAAGAUUCAAAACUACUUUUUCUCAGUUUUGCAUCAUGAUUUUCAAGGUGUUUCAUUCAAAACAUUCUUUUUUUUUUUAAAUUGAGGUACGGUCAGUUACAAUGUGUCAGUCUCUGGUGUACAGUGCAAUGUUCCAGUCAUGCAUAUACAUAUAUACAUAUUCGUUUCCAUGUUUUUGGAAUCAAAGCAUUCUUAACCAACUGGCCAACUGAUGAUUCUUACAGAUUUUGAAAAGGCAAUCAAAUCAACACAAUUCCAGCACAGAAACUGAAAUCAACUGUAUUGUCCUUUAAAGUGAAGCUGCAAACAUAGCGAGAAGCAUCUGUGUAAAAGACAGAUUUAUCUUUGCGCUUCACACGUCCUUUUCACCUAAAAACAAGGAACAAAAAAUUCCUUGUUACAGUGUCUGGCACAUAGGAGACCCAUUAAGUAUGAGGAAACAGUUUCUGCAUCAUGAGAACAUGCUCAGGCUUACCUGCUGGAAGGAUGUGAGAGACGAAGGAGAAGAGCCAAGGCCUUUCUACACCUGAUGACAGACAGCUGGUCCGCAAACAAACGGGAGUCCAGCCAAAACUGGUGGAGCCGCCUCCCUGACCCGCAGCUGCCUGUGGAAAGGAGCAAGCCCAGCUAAGUCAGAAGAGCCGCCCAGCUGACGCAGGGACUCCGAAGAGAUUACAAAUGCAGACUUGGCCAUUCCUUUAUUGGAAGGGGUAUGCUUUGUUGAACUCUACAAGCUUGUGAGCCCAAAGAGAUUUCAAGUUGAAGAUCCAGUUGGUUUUUCUUUGAGGUCGUAAUGGCCCUGAAUAAAGCCACAGGUAUGGCAACUAUGCCAGCACCUACAGACCUGGAAGAUGUGGCCAGCGCGGAGCAAAUGGCAAUAACAGAGGCGGACGCACCGCACGCGGAACCAGGCCUGCAGUCCGACAGCUGCCCACUCUUAACAGAUGCCCUCUACCUCUUGGCUUCUGCUGCUUCAUGACUUCUGCUGCUCAUACGUUUGGCUCUCUCACUUUCCUCUCACUACUGUACAACACAACUGCUUUACUUCAAUUAAGGCAAUCUCCUCACUGUCUUAAGAACAAUUUCUGUCUCCACAACUUCAUGUUGUCACUUUGAACACAAAUACUUUCUUCUUUUCUCUCCACUUCAAAAUAUAGUCAAAAGCCUGUUAUUUUAAGUCCCCUUCAUUACUUCUUCCCAAUGGCUCCAACGGAUUUUUGAGUGACUACUAUGUGUUAAGUCUUCUUGCUGACCCAUGAUGAACCCACAACAUGAACAAAAAAUAACCCUUUUUUGAGAUUUAGGGAUUGUUAGUUCUUGCCACCUGGUCUAGCCUGCCCUGCCUGCUGUGCUGGCUUCAGGGAAGUAAUUUAGCUUUACUAAGCUUCAAUUUCCUUAUCUGUAAAAUAGAGAUUAAAACAGUAUCUAUCAAACAAGUUUGUUCUGGGGAUUAAAUGAGAUAAAACAGGUAAAAGUACUUGGGUAAAAAAAGGUAUUUAGCACAGUGCUAAGCACAAAACAAGUGUAUAAAUGUUAGUUACUAAAAUUUUUUGAAUUCUCACCCCUAGCAAUUGGUGUGUUAUUAAUGACAAAUGAGCUCAGCGGAGGGCAUUGCUUGCUUUUUCAAAUGUUAAGCUUCAAAUUACAAAUGUUAUAAAAUUAUUGUCAGUAAUUUUAGCAUGAAUGGAUUAACACAUCUAAAGAUAACUACUAUAGAGCUAAUCUAACUCAUCAUAAGAAACAGCUCUAUUAUGUUUCUUUUUCAUAUCAUGAGUUUUGGGAUACCAUGAAAAAAUGUUUUAAAUAUAUGCGUUCUCUCUAAAACUCUUAAAGCUUAUUAAAGAGAUGUUAUCCUUGUUUUCAAAGUCUAUCUAUAACACGGACAUAUUGUUCUAUAAAUAACUAUUUAAAU